UUCUUAUUAGCUCAAUGGUAGAGCAGAAUACUUCUAAUAUUUUGAUCCAAGUUCGAGUCUUGGAUAAGAAU
rfam:Aspergillus lentulus DNA, contig: Alt02, strain: IFM 54703.